CGUCUAUAUACGUAUAGCAUAUCAAUAAGCGGAGGAAAAGAAACUAACUAGGAUUCCCUCAGUAACGGCGAGUGAAGCGGGAAGAGCUCAAAUUUGAAAUCUUCAAGGUUUUACCUUGACGAAUUGUAGUUUAAAGAAGUGUUUUCUGUUGGAGUUUUGGUAAAAGUUCUUUGGAAUAGGACAUCAUAGAGGGUGAGAAUCCCGUAUUUGACCAUUAUUUCCAACUUUGUGAUACACUUUCAAAGAGUCGGAUUGUUUGGGAAUGCAGUCCAAAAUGGGUGGUAAAUUUCAUCUAAAGCUAAAUACUGGCGAGAGACCGAUAGCGAACAAGUACCGUGAGGGAAAGAUGAAAAGAACUUUGAAAAGAGAGUUAAACAGUACGUGAAAUUGUCAAAAGGGAAGCGUUUGACACCAGUGUUGUUUUCUCGAAAAUCAAUUAAAAAUGAUUGGAUUUUGUGUUGUAUUGACUUUAUCAGCUUUCUGCACUCUUUUCUUGUCUUUUUUAAUGCACUUUUCGUUUAACAAGUCAACAUCAAUUUCUUUUGUUGUAAAAGGGUCAUUGGAAGGUGGCUUUCUUUUCGGAGAAAGUGUUUAUAGCCUUUGACUUCUGCAGUCGGAGAGAUUGAGGUCUGCAGCGUAGAUCCUUCGGGGUUAGAUGCAUUUGUGCUAAGUUAUAGCUUUUAUAGACAACAUGUUGACUAUGAUUAGUCAUGUAGCUUACUCGCUUAUGUCAUUUUACCUACGCUUAGGAUGUUGACGAUCAGCUGAGCGCG
rnacentral:rRNA from 1 species